CCUACGGGUGGCAGCAGUGAGGAAUAUUGGUCAAUGGGCGCGAGCCUGAACCAGCCAAGUAGCGUGAAGGAUGACUGCCCUACGGGUUGUAAGCUUCUUUUAUAAAGAAAUACAGUGAGGCACGUGUUCCUUUUUGUAUUUACUUUAUGAUUAAAGAUCGGCUAACUCCGUUCCAGCAGCCGCGGGAAUACGGAGGAUCCGAGCGUUAUCUGGAUUUAUUGGUUUUAAAGGGAGCGUAGAUGGGUUGUUAAGUCAGUUGUGAAAGUUUGCGGCUCAAACGUAAAAUUGCACUUGAUACUGGCAGUCUUGAGUACAGUUGAGGUAGGCGGAAUUCGUGGUGUAGCGGUGAAAUGCGUAGAUAUCACGAAGAA
rnacentral:rRNA from 1 species